UGCAAGUCGAGCGGUAACAGGGGGAGCUUGCUCCCCGCUGACGAGCGGCGGACGGGUGAGUAAUGCAUAGGAAACUGCCCAGUAGUGGGGGAUAGCCCGGGGAAACCCGGAUUAAUACCGCAUACGCCCUUUGGGGGAAAGCAGGGGAUCUUCGGACCUUGCGCUAUUGGAUGUGCCUAUGUCGGAUUAGCUAGUUGGUGGGGUAAGAGCCUACCAAGGCGACGAUCCGUAGCUGGUCUGAGAGGAUGAUCAGCCACAUCGGGACUGAGACACGGCCCGAACUCCUACGGGAGGCAGCAGUGGGGAAUAUUGGACAAUGGGGGCAACCCUGAUCCAGCCAUGCCGCGUGUGUGAAGAAGGCUUUCGGGUUGUAAAGCACUUUCAGUGAGGAGGAAAACCUUACGACUAAUACUCGUGAGGCUUGACGUUACUCACAGAAGAAGCACCGGCUAACUCCGUGCCAGCAGCCGCGGUAAUACGGAGGGUGCAAGCGUUAAUCGGAAUUACUGGGCGUAAAGCGCGCGUAGGUGGUUUGAUAAGCGAGAUGUGAAAGCCCCGGGCUCAACCUGGGAACGGCAUUUCGAACUGUCAGGCUAGAGUAUGGUAGAGGAGUGUGGAAUUUCCUGUGUAGCGGUGAAAUGCGUAGAUAUAGGAAGGAACACCAGUGGCGAANGCGGCACUCUGGACCAAUACUGACACUGAGGUGCGAAAGCGUGGGGAGCAAAC
rnacentral:rRNA from 1 species